rnacentral:sRNA from 1 species
UCCUCCUCCCUUGGCCUCCUCAAAGCACUAGGAUUAUAGGUGUGAGCCACUUUGCCAGGCUGACUAAAAAUUUUAAAACUUACAGAAGUUUAAACUGUUGAAAAACUUAUAUAACAUUCUGACAUUAUUUUAAAACCAAUUUUAUGUUUUUAUAGCUUCUGCAGAAAGCCGUCAUUACACCUGAUUUUGAAAAAAACCACUGUGUUCCACCAUAUAGUGAAUCAAAGUAUCAACUUCAGAAAAAACGCAGAAAAGAACGACAAAAAACAGCAGGGGAUGGCUGGUUUGGUAUGAAAGCUCCAGAAAUGACAAAUGAACUGAAAAAUGAUCUCAAAGCACUGAAGAUGAGAGCCAGCAUGGACCCGAAAAGAUUUUACAAGAAAAAUGAUAGAGAUGGCUUCCCCAAGUACUUCCAGAUUGGAACCAUUGUUGACAAUCCAGCUGAUUUCUACCAUUCACGAAUUCCCAAGAAGCAAAGGAAAAGAACUAUUGUGGAAGAACUGCUGGCUGAUUCUGAAUUCAGAAGAUACAACCGAAGGAAGUACUCAGAGAUCAUGGCUGAAAAAGCAGCAAAUGCAGCAGGAAAAAAGUUCCGAAAGAAGAAGAAAUUUCGCAAUUAAGAUUUACCAAGCAAACUGCAACAUUUUACAUCGCUCCUUUAUUUACUUAUUAAAGACAUUUGGAAAACUAA